UACGGAGGGUGCAAGUGUUGUUCGGAAUUAUUGGGCGUAAAGAGCGUGUAGGCGGUUAGGCAAGUCAGAUGUGAAAUCCCUUGGCUCAACCAAGGAAGUGCAUUUGAAACUGCUUAACUAGAGUACAGGAGGGGAAAGUGGAAUUCCCAGUGUAGAGGUGAAAUUCAUAGAUAUUGGGAGGAACACCGGUGGCGAAGGCGGCUUUCUGGCCUGAUACUGACGCUGAGACGGCGAAAGCGUGGGGAGCAAACAGGAUUAGAUACCCGCGUA
rnacentral:rRNA from 1 species